UAACCAUGAUUCCCUUAGUAACGGCGAGUGAAGUGGGAAGUGCUCAAAUUUAAAAUCCCAUUAGGGAGUUGUAAUUUAGAGAACGUUUUGCAUGGGAGUGGAGAUUAAAGUCUGCUGGAAAGCAUGCGCUAGAAAGGGUGAUAGCCCCGUUCAAUCUCUUACGACCUAAUCAGCGGACGUUUCAAAGAGUCAGGUUGCUUGGGAAUGCAGCCUAAAUUUGGUGGUAAACUCCAUCUAAAGCUAAAUAUUGAUCAGUGACCCGAUAGCAAACAAGUACCGUGAGGGAAAGAUGAAAAGAACCUUGAAAAGGGGGUUAAAAGUACGUGAAAUUGUUAUUAGGAAAGCACUUGGCGCUAUUGUGGAUUAGGUGAGUCUGUUUCGGCAGAUACUGACCUAAUUAGUCAUGAUCAGUUAGAGUUGGCAAAAAAACCAGAUUGAAAGGUAGUAGGGUAAACCUACACUUAUAGGCUUUCUGAACUUUGCUGAUUCUGACUGAGGAAUGCUUCUUAAAAUUACAUUGUGCUAAGGUUUAUGGAAAGUUGCUAAGCCAGCACGCUGAUUAGUACCUCGAAGUGACCUUUGUAUAAUGUCAUUUAAGAACAGGAUCAUGAUUAAAUAGUUCCA
rnacentral:rRNA from 1 species